rnacentral:lncRNA from 1 species
GGAAAAGAAAACACGAGAAGGAUAAGGGGACGUAUGUAAAGAAACCUCCCAACGCAUUUAUGCUGUUCUUAAAAAGCGAGAGGAAGACAGUCCAGGAAGAGCUCGGCAUUAAGAACAGUGCUGCAGUCAAUCGAGUUCUUUCUGAACGCGUAAGUUUGUUUGUUCCUCGAUGAAUGAUCUGUGAUCUUCACAUUUUUGUCUUUGGUGUGUGUGUGUGUGUGUGUGUGUGUGUGACACUUUGUUAUUGUUCAUCCACAGUGGAAGUCUUUGGCUGAAGACAAAAGGCAGAUCUUCCAAGCUGAAGCCCAAGUGGAAGCUCAUAUACACGCUCUCAAUAACCCAGGCUGGAGCAACAAAGUGAAUUACGGGACAAAGAGUAAGAAAUCACGAACCAAAGCUCCACGUCUGCCUCCACCCUCCUACUGAUGGGAUUGUAUAACAAACAUUACUAACAUACUAACGCACCAAGGACAACAACGACAUCGGCAGCAACAACAACAACAAGGGCAACGUCAGCAGCAACAAUGGCGACAACAACAAAAAGAGCAGUGUCAACAGCAAAUUCAGCAGCAACUACAGCAUCAGCUGCAACAACAAGAUCAAUGUCAACAACAGUAUCAGCUGCAACAAGAAGGGCAAUGUCAGCAGCAACAGCAACAGAGGCAGCAGCAACAACAAGAUCAAUGUCAGGAGCAGCUCUUCCAUGAAAGCUUUGACACCGACUCUCCGUCCAGCCCCGCCGCGGGACACACCGCAGCCACCGGGAUGCCUCAGUACCUCGGCAGUGACUCCACCGUUGGUCCCCUGUUCUCCAGGUACCCUCACAUCCAGAUGCAGCCCAUCCCUCUGGUGGAGGUGGACUACAAGACCAACCCCAAAGCCAAACCACCUCAUUCCCACUCCUCUCUCAUCUACAUGGCCAUGCAGGCCAGUGAACAGCCCAAAGUCACUUUGUCCACCAUCUAUAAGUGGAUCAAAGAGAACUUCUGCUACUACAGACACGCAGAGCCCACCUGGCAGGUAAGUGACACCCACUUUUAUUAUUUAUGACUAUCCAUCUCCCUUCAUUUAUCAUCACUUACUCAUAUUUGCUCAAUGGUUUUAUAAUAAAUUUUGCUUUUAUUGUGUCUUUGUUACA